rnacentral:lncRNA from 1 species
GCAGCAGACAACUGCAUCAAACCAAAUCAUCCAACAAAAGCAUACAUCAAGCCAUGCAUCUAAGAGAACCAGGUUCGUGACAUAUUAUACUUGAUGAAAGGCAUCAGGGUAGGGUACCAUCGACUGCCUGACCUGAAGGUUUUGGGCUGCAGCUUGAGGACGACGCGAUGGACUGGUGAGGAAAACAACAUAUUGUAGGACGUUUUAGCGUGAUCGCCACGCCCUUGUGCAUGUGCUCUUCCUUCUCGGUAUUGAGCUCACAAGUGAUGAGGGGAGGUUUUAGCGUUUAAUUCAGGUUUCAGACCUAAAUUACAGGCAACGAGAGCUGAUGAAACAUUAAACUUUGGGUGUGAAUUGAUCCCAAACAACAUUCUGCCGUAUGCCCGUAUCCUACGUGUAGUAGGUCGGUUGAGCAUCGGCACUCAGCUGUACAGCAGAAACUAAGCAUCAAUGGUGUUCAGCAUCAGCAGUUCAGAAUUCAGAUGAUCAAGCACCAGCAGUCAGCAUAAUUGGUGAUUCGGUGGCGGAGAACGCGUUAAAAUUGAGGUAUUGGU